AUACGGAAGGUGCAAGCGUUAAUCGGAAUCACUGGGCGUAAAGCGCGCGUAGGCCGCCUUUCUAAGUCGGACGUGAAAGGCCCUCGGCUCAACCGAGGAACUGCGUUCGAGACUGGGAGGCUUGAGUCCUGGAGAGGGUGGCGGAAUUCCGGGUGUAGGAGUGAAAUCCGUAGAUAUCCGGAGGAACACCGGUGGCGAAGGCGGCCACCUGGACAGGUACUGACGCUGAGGCGCGAAAGCGUGGGGAGC
rnacentral:rRNA from 1 species